AUUAGAGGAUGAAUUUAUCCCGAACCUGAUUUCAUGUGAAUGAAACUCUUCUACGGAUCUGACUGCUGAUAU
rnacentral:snoRNA from 1 species